UGGCUCAGUUGGUAGAGCAUGAUGUUUCCAACGCCAGAGUUGUGGGUUCAAUUCCCAC
rnacentral:tRNA from 1 species